rnacentral:piRNA from 1 species
UGAUCCACGCAACUCCUGAGUGGAGGAGCCA